rnacentral:RNase_P_RNA from 1 species
GAAGCGGGCCAGACCGCCGCUGGUGCAAAACUCGAAAGGGUGCGCUGGAGGAAGGUCCGGACUGCGCAGGGCGGCGUAGCAGCUAACGGCUGCCCACCGUGAGGUGAGGAUCAGAGCAACAGAGACGAGCCGAUUCAGUUCGGGUGAAACGGGCAAUCUCUACGCGCAGCAAUACCAAAUAGGCACACGCCAGGCGGCGUUCGCGCCGCCCAGAACCCUGGCCCGGGGCAAUGUGUGCGGGUAGGUAGCACCGAGCCGUGCAGUGAUGCAUGGCCCAGAGGAAUGGCGGUCACGGCUGGCGCUUCGCAAGAAGGGCCGGCUGCACAGAAUCCGGCCUAUCGGCUCGCUUCACAC